GAAACCCUAAAACUUGUUUUCUUUCUCACCUUAAAAACUCCCCCUUUCCUUCUCAACCCAGAAACUCAACCUUUCUUUCUCAACACGAUCAAUUUUUCUCACCACCACAAACAAUUAGUUCCUCUUUCUUUCUCAACCUACCACAAAUCCUAAAACUAUUCAUCUCAUGCUAAUCCCAUAUUACCGUCAUUUCAUCACGAUUCACAAUCGUGAAACCAACUAGUUUGAAUUUUAUCUGUUGCUAACCAUCCUCUCACCGCCAUUCAUCACGAAACCAUCCUUUGUUGCUAAUCUCCUCUCAAACCAACCUCCACAACUGCGACAUGAAGUCAACAGGUUCUCUUAAAUCGGUAGACUACAACUGCGACAUGAAGCCCUCAUUGUUUGUCGUCUCGUCGACUAUCAUGAACCAUAAGGCAUUCUAUAAUUCUGGAAUAGCAAGGAGGCUGAACAAUUUUCUUGUACAAGAUAUAAGAAGGAUUUGAAUGGCAUCCCUCCUAGUCAUUUAGAUUUGUUUCUCCACACACAUAAACGUGGCAAGGAUAAAACUUGGGUUGAUAAAAGAUCGGAAUAUGUUCAUAUAAGAGCUUUCAACUUUAAAGUGAAAAAUUUAAACGUAGGUUGGAAGAAUUGACAAAGAAACAACUUCACAAGGAACUCCCCCACCAAAUGAAUUAGAAGUGUGGUGUGAGGUUGCGGGAAUAAAAAGAGGACGAACAUAUGGUCUCAGAAUGGAAUCUACUGUAUUAUUAGGGAGACCAUAUUAUCGUGAGUCAUGUUCUUCAUCAACAGAGUGGGUUCAAAGACGUGAAUUUGAAGAAAUGAGAAAUGAAAGAGAUCAACAAAGACAUGAAUUUGAAGAAAUGAGAAAUGAAAGAGAUCAACUUUGAGAGGAUCAACUGAUGAAUAUCUUGAAUUUUAAACCCAUGCCAUAUACUAGAGAUCAAAUUCCUAAAGAUGGGAUUGGUGAUAAUGAUGAUGAGAUUGGUGAUCAUGAUGCUGUUGAUUUUGAUGAUGAGAUUCGUGAUAAUAAUGCUAGUGAUCAUGAUGAUGAAGAGUUAGAUGGAUUGUGAUAAUUUAAUCUGAAAAAACAAAUAUAUUGCAAUUUGUUAUAACUAAAUAUAUGAAAGAUGAUGAAAGAUGAUGAAAAAUACAAUUUAUAGACCCUUUUCUCAUCAACAUGAUCCAAUAUACCAAUACAUUCAAAAGAAAGAGCAUAAGAGUAAGGGUGUGCAGUGGCGAUAGGAUAGUAAUCAAGUCCAAUCCAAGCCUCAUGCUAUUGGUGGUGAUGGUGGUAACACCUAUAGCCAUCAUCAUCAUCGAGUGAGUUUUGUGAGUGAAACACCACGUAGGGGGGCAUUUGUGGACUUUCGUGAGUUCGUGGAGGGGGCAAAGGAAAAAGUCGGAUUACCUCACAAAAUUCACUAGGUUAAAUGGUACUUAGUGUGUAGGCCAUGGGAGAAGAGGGCUUGGGUAUGUAGAACUUAAGAAUUUUUAAUAUGGUUUUAUUGGGUAAGUGGUGUUGGAGCUUUAGGGUGGAUAGACAUAGCUUAUGGUUUAAGGUGUUAUCAAGUAUGCAUGGUGAUCUUGAGGGCCUUGGGGCAAGUUUUGGGUGUUUGUACUCUAAUUUGUGGAAGGAUUUAAACAAGGGGUGGUGUGCAAGACAAUUGGUUUGAUCAUUGGUUACCUAGAGGUAUGUGCAUGAUAGUUUCAGUAGACUCUUUGGGAUCAUCCUUGAUAAAAAUCUCUCUGUUGCUUCUAUGCACAUAAUGGUGUGGGGGUUCGCAGUAGGAUUUGGUUGAAAGAGAAGUUUAUUUUAGUGAAAGAGAAAAUUAGUGGAGGGAUGUCUUUCUUUGCUUGCUAGCAUUGUUUUUAUAGAAUGAUGUUAAGGACACUUGACUUUGGCUUUUGGGACAAAGUAAUGUUUUUGUUGUGAAAUACGUCCAUCGUAUUCUAAUGAAGAAUUUUGAAGGCACAGAUGUACCGCUGCAUAAGGUUGCUUAGAAAAAAGUGGUACAUUUAAAAGUUUCUUUAGUUGUGUGACGUUUGUUGCAUAAUCGUCUACAUUUUAAGAUGGACCAAAAUAAUU